UACAGAGGUCUCGAGCGUUGUUCGGAUUCAUUGGGCGUAAAGGGUGCGUAGGUGGCACUGUAAGUCGGGUGUGAAAUCCUGAGGCUUAACCUCGGAACUGCAUUCGAUACUGCGGUGCUUGAGGACUGGAGAGGAGACUGGAAUUCAUGGUGUAGCAGUGAAAUGCGUAGAGAUCAUGAGGAAGACCAGUGGCGAAGGCGGGUCUCUGGACAGUUCCUGACACUGAGGCACGAAGGCCAGGGGAGCAAAUGGG
rnacentral:rRNA from 1 species